rnacentral:lncRNA from 1 species
CGCGAUACUUCUAAAAACAAGAUAAUGCUUCUGAAUUGCGGAAGAAAGUACUGCGGACAAAUUGGGCGCGGAGCGGCCGAGAUGGAUCGCUUUGUUAGGGGCGGCCCGUGGUUUGUGACUCAAUUAGUGCAUUUCUGGGAGCUGCCCGCCCUCUGCAGCCCGGUCAGCUCGAGGCGAACUCCCCCUGUGGCUCCCGGGCGCCGGCAGGGCGUGGGGGAGCACUUCGGGCCUGUACCUAUGUCGGUGCAAAGCCACGCCGCGGGAAAUGUUUUUGUAUUCCCACACGAGUACAUUGCUCGGGUUCUAAAGGAUCCAGAUUUUCGCGGACAGAAGCUUGACUGCCUCUGCUCCGAUAAACACACACCUGGGCUCCUAAAAGUCUGAUAUUCUUUAUAAAAAAAAAUAGAACUUCAAUGGAUGUCUCUUGAGAAUUUCCCUUUAAAACAGAUGAAAGGCAAGAGCGUUUGAAAAUGAGAUCAUGGAAACACAGACACCAGACUCUUUGCUAUUGGAAGAAGCCAAGAGGUCAUCAGUUGAACCUGCCACUCUAAGCAGAAUCUCUCAGAAAACGUGCUUGAUGGGACAGCCCUAGCUUGGCUUAACCACUCGAGCAUAGGAGAACUCACUACCUCACAUCUGUUUUGCAUGUUUCAAGACUCACCAAAACAGGAAAGGUGUACAUGGCGGAAACAAAGUCACGUGGCAUCCAUGGUCCUGUACAAACUAGAUAAAACGUGAGAGAAACACGGAGUGGAUCUUCUUAUUACUUAUUGGUCAAGCAGAAAGUUAGAGUAAACUGUACUAGCUAAACUGCUUUCUCAAGUUUCCAUUUUAGGCAUUUCUACUGUUUGCCCACUGCCUAGUAGGCUGCCGGAGUUCACUAUAGGAAAAGUAAAUAUUGUCAUUUCAAAUAAAGAACUGUUUAUUAUAUAACAGAACAGAGGCUGCCUUCUAUUUUUGAGACUCUGCUAAGUUAAUUGGGGACAGUAGCCAAAGCAGCUGCCCAGGAGAUGGUGUUUUCCAAUAGCUACAAUCCUUAAAGCUAAACUGGCUUCAUGUUUGUCUACAAAGUGGCAAUCGCAUUGCUUUCUUCAUUGAAUGUUCUUUGGCUCCUGUUUGGGUGGGUAAAUGGGGGCACCAUUUGUACUACUUUACCAGCCCGUUUGACUCCUACAGUGAGGGCAAACCAUAAGCCAAGACACAUCAAAGCUAAACCUGAU